GGGCCCGCACAAGCGGUGGAGCAUGUGGUUUAAUUCGAUGAUACGCGAGGAACCUUACCAGGGCUUAAAUGGGAAAUGACAGGGGCAGAGACGCCCCCUUCUUCGGACAUUUUUCAAGGUGCUGCAUGGUUGUCGUCAGCUCGUGCCGUGAGGUGUCAGGUUAAGUCCUAUAACGAGCGCAACCCUCGUCCUAUGUUGCCAGCACGUAAUGGUGGGAACUCAUGGGAUACUGCCGGGGUCAACUCGGAGGAAGGUGGGGAUGACGUCAAAUCAUCAUGCCCCUUAUGUCUUGGGCUUCACGCAUGCUACAAUGGCCGGUACAGAGGGCUGCAAUACCGCAAGGUGGAGCGAAUCCCAAAAAGCCGGUCGUAGUCCGGAUCGUAGUCUGCAACUCGACUGCGUG
rnacentral:rRNA from 1 species